GAGAUAGCAAAGUAAGAACAGCGGGAUGGAGGAUUGAGAAAAGAAUUUUUUAAGAUGGGAAAGACUUGAGCAUGUUUACUGAUGGGAGAGACCAAAUUGAGGUAGGUGGUUAAAGAUGCAGAAAAGAAAAUGAAAUUUAUUGUACCGAGGUCUUUUAAAAGACCUUUCAUUCUGUUGACAGGCUGAGGUAGAGGAAAGGCUAAUUUGUUCAGUGUGAAGUUUUCUUUAUGUUUCUUAUGGUUCAGGUAGGGGGUAGUCCAUAGUUACUGACAGAGGUUAAAAGAGUUCAUUUCAUGGUGCCCUGCUUUAUCUCUCCCUCUCUUGUAGGUCCUGAAGAUUUUCUUCAUGAUUUUUUAUCAUUGCUUUGGAGAGAGGAAGGAAUGGGGUACAUGAAAUGUACCAUGAAUUAAAUGCUGAUGUUUUGGGCAAGGCUAUAGUGGUGUCUAUUAUAUAAUGUAAAGUUCUAGAAAUCAGAGCUUCCUUUAAAACACAAGGUGGGGAUGCCUGGGUGGCUCAGUGGUUGUGUGUCUGUCUUUGGCUCAGGUCAUGAUCCUCGGGUCCUGGGACUGAGUCCCACAGCGGGCUUCUGGCAGGGAGCCUGCUUCUCCCUCUGCCUAUGUCUCUGGCUCUAUCUCUGUGUCUCUUAUGAAUAAAUAAAUAGAUAAAUCUUUAAAAAACAAAACAAAGGGUGUAUUGUAAAACAUUAUAGGUACUAUAUAAAUAAAGUUAUCCUAUGCUGGCAAGAGAAUCCCCUCUGGGUGAUGUGCAGGGAUGGCUAUGAUUCCUAAUCCAUGCUUCCUCCUAGAGUGACAGGUCUGUGAUCCAAGAAUAAUAAUAAGGAUACAUAUCAAAUAUUGAUGGUCUACUGAGUGUGGGUACAAAGUAUAUGUUAUUUUUAUGUUCUUAUAAGAAUCCUGCAAAGUAGAUAUCAUUAUUUUUAGUUUAUAGAUAAGUAAAGCCUCAGAAUAGAUAAAUUUCUACAGUCAAAGAGCUAGUAAAUGGCUCAACUAGCAUUAGAACCCAAUCUUGUCCAUCUCAGGGUGUGAACCUUUUGCACUGAGUAACAUGAUGAGCAUCCUGCAGAAAUACCUAACUAGAGUGAUUUUUUUCAGAAUUUCUUUCAUAGUCAUGUGUUGUUAUGCAACUAAAAUAUCUUCUCUGUUAGAAAAUAGUGAACAACUAACAUAGAGAAAAAUUAGUAUUGUUGUACAAAGGAGAAAGUUGGAGGAAAACUGGAUCCAGAAAUAUAGAGAUUAAUGGGAGGAAAAAAAUCAUUAUCCCCAGCAUCACAUAUUCCUUCAGCUUGCUCAUUUGUUCUUGCACUUCAUUUAUUCAUUCAAUUAAUAAUAUUUUUAAACUUUUUAAAAUAUUUGAUUUAUUUAUUUGAGAAAGCAAGCACAAGAGGGGGGAUAGAGGCAGAAGGAGAGGCAGGCUCCCCGCUGAGAAGAAAGUUCAGCCUGGGGCUUGAUCCCAGGACCCUGAGAUCAUGACCUGAGCCAAAGGCAGGUGCCCAACCAGCAGAGAGCCACCAAGGCUCCCCUAAUAUUUUUAAAUUUCCAGACAGAGAUAUUUUAUCCUCAUAGAGCUAAAAGUAAUUGCACAAUUAAAUACUUGCAAUUAUGACAAGUAUUACAAAGGAGAAGUUUGGAGGCUAUGGGGGAAGAUAAAAGGAAGGAAAAAACUUAGUUAAGCUUUCCUUGUCAGCUUGAGCUUUCCUUGAGGAAGUGAUAAUUAAGCUGACUUUUGAAAAAGAAGUAGAAAUGAACCAAUCAAAUGAGGUGUGAGGAGACGAGUCUUGUUUCAGGCAGAGGGAAUUGCACAUGGAAAGGUCCAAACGCAGAAAGAGUCAUGGCAUAGGGCCCGCAGAAAGAGUCAUGGCAUAGGGCCCGUGUGACUGGAGCCCAAAAGUAAGAGAAUGUAAUUAGAUGAUAGUGGUGAGGUAGGCAGGGAGUCAAAACACGAGGCCUUGCGAUCACCUUAAGUAUUCUUUUUUAAAAUUAUCUAUUGCUUUUAUCUGCUCAGGAUUCACCUCUCCUCUCUUCUGUCAGGCAAUGAAUGGCAUUGUGAUCUACCCUUAGGGAACCGAUCUUUAAACCGUGAAGCUCACAGAGAGCUAGUUGACCAUGAGCUUCAAGGGUGAGCUCUUGUUAAACCAGCUUUGGCCAAUGAGAGAAUAACCUUUUCGACGCCCUAAAGGAAAUGCCAAACAUACAACCCAAGCUAGACCAAAUCAAGACCAAUAGGGCUAAUAGAGCUUUUUGCAUAUGUUGUGAAAAGUAUUCUCUUUCUGUGGGGACUGUUGGCAAUGUGGGAUUUAAGCCUAAAGCUAUUUGGGCAACCGAAAGGAAAAGUUCAAUUCUCUCCAAGGAAAUGUCGUUCCUACAGUAUAGCCAACACAGAGGAAGACUGAGCUGGGAGAUGAAGAGAUGGUUCCAGUUGACAUAAAUGAACCGAUCUACUCCAUAACCUUUCACUUUUGUGAAACAGUAAAUUUCCCUUGCCAAGCAAUCCUGUUUGAGAUGUAUUUUAGUCACUCAAAUGUGGAAGAGUCUUGAUUUUUUUUUUUUUAAACAUAGUACAAGAAUUGAAGUGUGAUAGGUUACAGACUCUAACAUGUGGAAUUAGCUGAAUCUAGGUCAGAAAGACGCAAUGCUGACCCCUUUCUUUAGCGGAGAAAUUCACACAACAAUUGAUUAACUUGCUAUCUGGAUUAUCUUGGGAUUCAGAGCCCAGGCCUAUGAGAGUGGAGUUGGAGGACAUGUGUGAAAAGAAAAUCAGGAACAUAUCAGUCCUUCAUGUGAGGUUUAGUGAGGUCCUUUAUGAAAGGGACAGAUUGUAGUUAAAUCUGGCUUGCAUGGAAGCAGUAACAAUCAGAGCAGCCCUUUAGCCCUUAUUCUGAAAUCCAAAACAGCCAAGAGUCAGAAGCAUUUUAACUGGGGUUUGAAAAGUCAGAUCCUCUCCUCAAUCUAAAUUUAGUGCUAGCGAAAUUGGGGGCGGGGGUGUGUGUGGGAUGGGGAGAGAAGAAUGAAAUUGGAAAAUAAGAUUCAAAACAGAAGCCUUCCUUACUACUGUUGACAGAACACUAAGUUCAUGAGUUAGAAGACAGAAACAACCUGAUUGGAAUCUAGAAUCAAGGAUUAGGCCUCAAUACUAACUCUAGCUUUUGUUGCUAACUCACUGAAUUUACUGGAAACAAAUAGAUUGUAGAGUUUACUAAGCUUUUAAGGAACUUGGGUUACCAGAGAAACUCAAAUGCCCAUAAACUCAGGGUGGUGAUUGCUCAACCCCCAAGGCAACACUUAGUGGUGAUCUUAAAGAUCACAGAAACAGCACUAUUAGAUAUGAUCAUCAGUAAGUGAAUAUUCCCCAGUGCGUUUCUCAGCUGUGACCAUAUAGGACAGAGUACCAGACUACAAGGGAAAUCAUCCCUGAAGACAGGUCCAAAAGCAGACAGAAGGGAUCCCCCAAGAAGACAAGGGGUUAUCCAACAGGAUAGUGUGUAUGCAAAUAAUAUAUUGCAUACUGCCCCUCCUCCCACUUCCCCUUUUCAAAGUAGAGGUUUUUAUGGUUGUUAUUUUGUUUCCUCCUCAUAAAUGUACAUUGUGUUUAUUGGAGAUGGUUAAAUGUAUCCUUUUAUAACAGAUUUCUGAACCAUGAGGAAAGUGCAAUAAGGAGAGUCUGGACUCAGGCUGGAGGCAGUAACUGGAUAAAACCUGAGUGGUGCUGGUACAUAUGUUUUUGAUUCCAUCUGAUAUUAAUGCUGAAUGUAGGCUUGGGGAUUUUUAAAAUUUAGGUAUAAGAAAAAUAUACGUGGAUGUUGUAUAGCCAGGAAGUGAACUAUAAUAACCAUCUGUGUUUUGGCCUAUC
rnacentral:lncRNA from 1 species